rnacentral:rRNA from 1 species
AUUGAACGCUGGCGGCAGGCCUAACACAUGCAAGUCGGACGAGCGGCGGACGGGUGAGUAAUGUCUGGGGAACUGCCUGAUGGAGGGGGAUAACUACUGGAAACGGUAGCUAAUACCGCAUACCAUCGGAUGUACCCAGAUGGGAUUAGCUAGUAGGUGAGGUAACGGCUUACCUAGGCGACGAUCCCUAGCUGGUCUGAGAGGAUGACCAGCCACACUGGAACUGAGAAACGGCCCAGACUCCUACGGGAGGCAGCAGUGGGGAAUAUUGCACAAUGGGCGCAAGCCUGAUGCAGCCAUGCCGCGUGUAUGAAGAAGGCCUUCGGGUUGUAAAGCACUGUCAGCGGGGAGGCGUUACCCACAGAAGAAGCACCGGCUAACUCCGUGCCAGUCGCCGCGGUAAUUC